ACUCGAAUACAAUGCCUGCAAGACAUGCAAAGUGACAUUAUCUACAAUUCCUGGAAUCUGCGCCAAAUAAUAUAAUUGCUGCAUUCACGCGUUCAACAACCUUUAUGUUAAACGAGUGAAGAAAACUUGGAGAUUUCAAUUUAACUAUUGAACGGACUAUUUGUUAAAUGUAAGGAGAACAUGCUUUACUAGAAAUUAAAGAUUUGCAAAAUGGUUGUGAGAUGUCUGUUUGUGUGCUUAUGUGUGUGUGUGUCUGUUCCAUCAGGAUCUGGUAAUGUGGAGGGAAGCCUAGGGGGUGGAUGGCACUACAAAGGCAGAAUAUAUUUCCAUAUUUUUCUUAUUAAGCUUUCAUUUUUCUUUGGCAGGGUAUCUCAAG